GUGGACUUGGUCAGGGCCGAUGCAUACCGUACGUGGACUUGGUCAGGGCCGAUGCAUACCGUACAUGGACUUGGUCACAGGGCUGAUGCAUACCGUACAUGGACUUGGUCACAGGGCUGAUGCAUACCGUACAUGGACUUGGUCAGGGCCGAUGCAUACCGUACAUGGACUUGGUCAGGGCCGAUGCAUACCGUACGUGGACUUGGUCAGGGCCGAUGCAUACCGUACAUGGACUUGGUCACAGGGCUGAUGCAUACCGUACAUGGACUUGGUCACAGGGCUGAUGCAUACCGUACAUGGACUUGGUCACAGGGCUGAUGCAUACCGUACGUGGACUUGGUCACAGGGCUGAUGCAUACCGUACGUGGACUUGGUCACAGGCCGAUGCAUACCGUACAUGGACUUGGUCAGGGCUGAUGCAUACCGUACGUGGACUUGGUCAGGGCCGAUGCAUACCGUACAUGGACUUGGCCAGGGCUGAUGCAUACCGUACGUGGACUUUGUCAGGGCCGAUGCAUACCGUACAUGGACUUGGUCAGGGCUGAUGCAUACCGUACGUGGACUUGGUCAGGGCCGAUGCAUACCGUACAUGGACUUGGUCAGGGCCGAUGCAUACUGUACAUGGACUUGGUCAGGGCUGAUGCAUACCGUACGUGGACUUGGUCAGGGCUGAUGCAUACCGUACAUGGACUUGGUCAGGGCUGAUGCAUACCGUACGUGGACUUUGUUAAUAAUGAACUGCUACAAAACAAUAAUAGAGAGAACUUGUCUGUAUGCAGCCAUGUGAAUGUAAAAUAUUUCUGAGGGUUUUAUUACAACUAUUGAUGAAAAAAUGGUGAUGUUGUUCACGUGACUCAGUGAAGUAACUUGUAUUUGUUUUCAAAAGCAUUAAAUGAUUUCAAUAGUCAA
rnacentral:lncRNA from 1 species